rnacentral:rRNA from 1 species
UACGUAGGGCGCAAGCGUUGUCCGGAAUUAUUGGGCGUAAAGCGCACGUAGGCGGACUCUUAAGUCGGUGGUGAAAUCCUGGAGCUCAACUCCAGAACUGCCUUCGAUACUGAGAGUCUUGAGUCCGGGAGAGGUGAGUGGAACUGCGAGUGUAGAGGUGAAAUUCGUAGAUAUUCGCAAGAACACCAGUGGCGAAGGCGGCUCACUGGCCCGGUACUGACGCUGAGGUGCGAAAAGCGUGGGGAGCAAACAGG